GUUUUUGGGUAUUUCGGGGUUGUUGGGGGUAUUUUGGGGGUGGUUUGUGGUGUUUUGAUGUAUUUUGGGGUGUUUUGGGGUAUUUUGGUGUCGUUUGGGGUAUUUUGGGUUGGUUUGGGGACAUUUCUAUUGCUAUUGACUUGGACAUCGAUACUGAAUUUGAUUUCUACAUUGAUUUGGCCAUUGAUAUUGAUUUCGAUAUCGAUGCUGAUCUUGAUUCUGAUUGAUACCGAUUCCGGUAUCGAUUCGGUUCUGGGUCCGGGUUCUGAGCUCCAUUGUGACGUCAGCUCUGACGUCAGUUUCGCCACCGAUGACGCAAGGCGGAGCCAAGGGAAGCGCGAGCCCCGCGGUGACGUCACAGAGCCAUGGCCCCGCCCCUCCUCCUGCUCUGCUUCCUCAUGGCUGCGGGUGCUGGUGUCAUUGGUGCAGAGCAAGCUCCGGAGCCGGAUCCCAGCACUGAGCCUUGGGCUUCCGAGCACCAGGGUAAGUGGUCCAUGUCCCGGCAAUGGGAAGCUGGUUAUGGAUCCGUUAUUGGCUGCAUAGAUCCCAUUGGAUGGGGAGGAUCCAACCUCCCAACGGGCUCUUCUCCAUCAGGAAUUCCCCUUCUCCCAAGGGAAGAGGCUCCCACUUUAGUGGCAUGGGAAGGAUGCUCUUGGGAUGCUACCAUCCACAUUCAUGCCCUGUAUCCGGGUCCCCCACUGUGGCCUGGGAAGGAUGCUCUUGGGGUGCUCCCAUCCACAUCCAUGCCCUGUAUCCGGGUCCACUGUGGCCUGGAUCCCAUCCCAUGCCCGCAGAUCCCUAAGGAGGAGGGGAGCAGAGCGGGAUGGGAACCCUCAGAGCUCCCAUUGUGGCCCCAUUCUGUGCGGUGCUGAUGCCCCAUGGAUGCUUGGUUGCAGAUGGAGCCAGGAUCAGGAGCUUCCCGGAGCCUCUCCAGCACCUCGUGCACGGUCCCAGCUGGCACCUCACUGGUGAGUCCUGGUUCUUCCCACAUGGGGGAUGCAGAUGUGGGGAUGCAGAUGUCGGGAUGCAGAUGUGGGAAUGCAGAUGUGGGAAUGCAGAUGUGGGGAUGCAGAUGUUGGGAUGCAGAUAUUGGGAUGCAGAUGU
rnacentral:lncRNA from 14 species